ACCAGGUUAGUCCUGAAUAAAGGGAUGAAGCUGAGACCAGAAAGGGAAGUAGUCUGCAGUCCCUCUCAGGGAGAAUGGGAGUUUUGUUUGGCAAGGAAUCAAAGUGGAGAGUGCACUGGGGCUACCUGUCAAGAUCCUUCAACCUUCAAACUUCAGCUAGUGAAGAAUUUUCUGUCUACUUACAGCUGCCCACACUGAGGAGGAGAGAUGCAGAAGGGCUGAGGUUAGAACUUCUAGGCACAGGCAAGCAAAUCUGAGGUUCAGCUGUGAAAAAUGGACCUUUUCGGCCUUCAGUUUCCCCACUACUGUGCAUUUCAUCAGUUUCUGGUUAUAACAAGGAGAAACUCUGUCUCUAGGAUCGAUAUCUCUUUUUUAAAUGUUGGCACUUUCCUUCGUGGUUAAAAUAUAUUUAUUCAAGAUAUUUCCUUUAGGAAUAAUUCCGAGUGGAAAGGAGUCAGAGGGUGGGAAAUUGUGUGUCUAACAUUGGUUUUAGUGUGAGCUAUUCUCAAGGUGGUAAGAACAGCAACAGAGGGAGGGAAAAAUGGUGGCAUUCACCUGAUGUUUUGUGGAUGCACAUCACAUUGUGUUACUGGAGGGAAAAAAUGCAAAUGAUAACAAAUGUUGUAUGCAACAAUGUUUUGUGUUUAUAAAAAUGUAUUAAUUCCCUUUUCCACAAAUGAGGCUAAAAUGCAUGAAAAUUUAAAUAUGUAAAGGUGUGAUUAUGCUUACAAUUUGUUUGCAAUAAUUAGCAUGCCUGCAGCCAUUUUGCAUAUUUAUAAUUUUUAAAAUAUUUUCUGAAUAA